rnacentral:rRNA from 1 species
UACAGAGGGUGCAAGCGUUGUUCGGAAUUAUUGGGCGUAAAGCGCGUGUAGGCGGCUUUGCAAGUCGGGUGUGAAAGCCCUCAGCUCAACUGAGGAAGUGCGCCCGAAACUGCAGAGCUUGAGUGCCGGAGAGGGUGGCGGAAUUCCCGGUGUAGAGGUGAAAUUCGUAGAUAUCGGGAGGAACACCAGUGGCGAAGGCGGCGACCUGGACGGACACUGACGCUGAGACGCGAAAGCAUGGGGAGCGAACAGG